rnacentral:rRNA from 1 species
UACAGAGGUCUCAAGCGUUGUUCGGAUUCAUUGGGCGUAAAGGGUGCGUAGGGGGGGCGGUAAGUCGGGUGUGAAAUCUCGGGGCUUAACUCCGAAACUGCAUUCGAUACUGCCGUGCUUGAGGACUGGAGAGGAGACUGGAAUUUACGGUGUAGCGGUGAAAUGCGUAGAUAUCGUAAGGAAGACCAGUGGCGAAGGCGGGUCUCUGGACAGUUCCUGACGCUGAGGCACGAAGGUCAGGGGAGCAAACGGG